ACCAACCGGGAUUGCCUUAGUAACGGCGAGUGAAGCGGCAAAAGCUCAAAUUUGAAAUCUGGUACCUUCGGUGCCCGAGUUGUAAUUUGGAGAGGGCAACUUUGGGGCCGUUCCUUGUCUAUGUUCCUUGGAACAGGACGUCAUAGAGGGUGAGAAUCCCGUGUGGCGAGGAGUGCGGUUCUUUGUAAAGUGCCUUCGAAGAGUCGAGUUGUUUGGGAAUGCAGCUCUAAGUGGGUGGUAAAUUCCAUCUAAAGCUAAAUAUUGGCGAGAGACCGAUAGCGAACAAGUACAGUGAUGGAAAGAUGAAAAGAACUUUGAAAAGAGAGUGAAAAAGUACGUGAAAUUGUUGAAAGGGAAGGGCAUUUGAUCAGACAUGGUGUUUUGUGCCCUCUGCUCCUUGUGGGUAGGGGAAUCUCGCAUUUCACUGGGCCAGCAUCAGUUUUGGUGGCAGGAUAAAUCCAUAGGAAUGUAGCUUGCCUCGGUAAGUAUUAUAGCCUGUGGGAAUACUGCCAGCUGGGACUGAUGGACUGCGA
rnacentral:rRNA from 1 species